UAGGGAUUUUCUAGAAGGCCUAAGGUGUGU
rnacentral:piRNA from 1 species